AAAGCUAUACAACAGGUGGACGAG
rnacentral:siRNA from 1 species